AAAGGCAGCUCAAGGGGGGGCCAAGUGGAAGGGGCCUAAAGCGUUCGUAGCCGGUUUGAUAAGUCUCUGGUGAAAUCCCGCAGCUUAACUGUGGGACUUGCUGGAGAUACUAUUAGACUUGAGGUCGGGAGAGGUUAGGGGUACUCCCAGGGUAGGGGUGAAAUCCUAUAAUCCUGGGAGGACUACCUGUGGCGAAGGCGCCUAACUGGAACGAACCUGACGGUGAGUAACGAAAGCCAGGGGCGCGAACCG
rnacentral:rRNA from 1 species